rnacentral:rRNA from 1 species
GACGAACGCUGGAGGCGUGCUUAACACAUGCAAGUCGAACGAUGAAAUGGAGCUUGCUCCAUGGAUUAGUGGCGAACGGGUGAGUAACACGUGAAUAACCUGCCCUUAAUUUUGGAAUAACCCAGGGAAACCUGGGCUAAUACCGGAUAAGUAAACCUGUGGCAUCACAUGGUUUUGGAAAGUUUUUCGAUUAAGGAUGGAUUCGCGGCCUAUCAGCUUGUUGGUGAGGUAAUGGCUCACCAAGGCGACGACGGGUAGCUGGCCUGAGAGGGGGAGCGGCCACCCUGGGACGGAGACACGGCCCAGACUCCUACGGGAGGCAGCAGUGGGGAAUAUUGCGCAAUGGACGAAAGUCUGACGCAGCGACGCCUCGUGAGGGACGAAGGUCUUCGGAUUGUAAACCUCUUUCAGCAGGGACGAAGCGAAAGUGACGGUACCUGCAGAAGAAGCACCGGCUAACUAUGUGCCAGCCGCCGCCGUAA